ensembl:lncRNA
CUCCACAGCAGCAGUCGGAAGAAAGUUAGAGGUUAACAUCUAUGGAUAAGUUAAGGCAAGUUUCUGGUUGAAUUGUUCACAGCAGGAUGUGUCCAGGAACCUGAAAAGCAAGCCCCAGCUCCUGGCUGAAGACCAGGAGGGCGGUAAUUUAAGGUGGGAAAUCAAAAUGUGGGUUAGUAACUCGGGAAAAAGAAAACUGACUGCUUAACUGGAGAGUUGGGAAGAAGUCUGGGAGACUGUGAAAAAGUUAGAGGUUAACAUCUAUGGAUAAGUUAAGGCAAGUUUCUGGUUGAAUUGUUCACAGCAUGAUGUGUCCAGGAACCUGAAAAGCAAGCCCCAGCUCCUGGCUGAAGACCAGGAGGGCGGUAAUUUAAGGUGGGAAAUCAAAAUGUGGGUUAGUAACUCGGGGAAAAAGAAAACUGACUGCUUAACUGGAGAGUUGGGAAGAAGUCUGGGAGACUGUGAAGUCAUAGAUGCAAAAUAACAUAUACCCAUACACACACAAACAGAAAAUGCAUUAACCUUAUAAAGACAAGCUCCUGAAGCUUAAUGAACAGAUAUUGAUUAAAAACCUGGCUAAGAACAUAAGCAUAUGCAAUGAAGAUCUGCUUGCUGCUUGUAUGAGUGAGAGAAUGGUGUGAAUGGUUCAUAAAAUAGAUGGAAAAACAAAAGAAAAGUGUCUAUAAGAGUGACUCAGGAGUGCUCUUGCACUGAUUGAUCAAAACAAGUGAUUAGUAUAGAAAGAAAAUGAAAAUAAUUCAAUAAUGUGAUAAAGUUUAAACAUGUAUUUCUUUUGCCAAGUUAAAUUGUUGAGAUAUGGCUGAGUAUGGAAAAAGUUUGAGAGCUUGUGUGAAUGUGGACAGAGGAGCUUGCUGUGUGGGUGUGAUUGAGGCCUUAAAGGAGGGGUAGAUUGUUCAGAGGUGCAAAUUUGAUUAAGAGGUUUAUAAAUUAGUGUUGACAUAUUGUGAGAACGUGCUUAUAUGUUAAGGUUGAAUGUGAGUUUGGUAAAGUGCUUAAAGGG